AUUGAACGCUGGCGGCAUGCCUUACACAUGCAAGUCGAACGGCAGCACGGGAGCAAUCCUGGUGGCGAGUAGCGAACGGGUGAGUAAUAUAUCGGAACGUGCCCAGUAGUGGGGGAUAGCCCGGCGAAAGCCGGAUUAAUACCGCAUACGACCUGUGGGUGAAAGCGGGGGAUCGCAAGACCUCGCGCUAUUGGAGCGGCCGAUAUCAGAUUAGCUUGUUGGUGGGGUAAAAGCCCACCAAGGCGACGAUCAGUAGCUGGUCUGAGAGGAUGAUCAGCCACACUGGGACUGAGACACGGCCCAGACUCCUACGGGAGGCAGCAGUGGGGAAUUUUGGACAAUGGGGGCAACCCUGAUCCAGCAAUGCCGCGUGAGUGAAGAAGGCC
rnacentral:rRNA from 1 species